UACGAAGGGGGCUAGCGUUGUUCGGAAUCACUGGGCGUAAAGGGCGCGUAGGCGGCCGAUCAAGUCGGGUGUGAAAGCCCCGGGCUCAACCUGGGAAUUGCAUUUGUGACUGCAUCGCUAGAGUAUGGGAGAGGGAAGUGGAAUUUCCGGUGUAGCGGUGAAAUGCGUAGAUAUCUGGAGGAAUACCGGUGGCGAAGGCGGCAUCCUGGACCGGCAUUGACGCUGAGUGAGCGAAAGCCAGGGGAGCAAACGGG
rnacentral:rRNA from 1 species